UUUAAAGAGAGUUUGAUCCUGGCUCAGGACGAACGCUGGCGGCGUGCCUAAUACAUGCAAGUCGAACGAACGGAGGAAGAGCUUGCUCUUCCAAAGUUAGUGGCGGACGGGUGAGUAACACGUGGGCAACCUGCCUGUAAGUUGGGGAUAACUCCGGGAAACCGGGGCUAAUACCGAAUGAUAAAGUGUGGCGCAUGCCACGCUUUUGAAAGAUGGUUUCGGCUAUCGCUUACAGAUGGGCCCGCGGUGCAUUAGCUAGUUGGUAGGGUAAUGGCCUACCAAGGCAACGAUGCAUAGCCGACCUGAGAGGGUGAUCGGCCACACUGGGACUGAGACACGGCCCAGACUCCUACGGGAGGCAGCAGUAGGGAAUCUUCCGCAAUGGACGAAAGUCUGACGGAGCAACGCCGCGUGUAUGAAGAAGGUUUUCGGAUCGUAAAGUACUGUUGUUAGAGAAGAACAAGGAUAAGAGUAACUGCUUGUCCCUUGACGGUAUCUAACCAGAAAGCCACGGCUAACUACGUGCCAGC
rnacentral:rRNA from 1 species